GGCCGCCUGGCGUAAUGGCAACGCGUCUGACUACGAUAUUACGUGAUCAGGAGAUUGCAGGUUCGACCCCUGCGGUGGUCA